AGAUUGAACGCUGGCGGCAUGCCUUACACAUGCAAGUCGAACGGUAGAGUAGCAAUACUUGAGAGUGGCGAACGGGUGAGUAAUAUAUCGGAACGUGCCCAGUCGUGGGGGAUAACGUAGAGAAAUUUACGCUAAUACCGCAUACGAUCUAAGGAUGAAAGCGGGGGACCGUAAGGCCUCGCGCGAUUGGAGCGGCUGAUAUCAGAUUAGGUUGUUGGUGAGGUAAAAGCUCACCAAGCCGACGAUCUGUAGCUGGUUUGAGAGAACGACCAGCCACACUGGGACUGAGACACGGCCCAGACUCCUACGGGAGGCAGCAGUGGGAAUUUUGGACAAUGGGCGAAAGCCUGAUCCAGCAAUGCCGCGUGCAGGAAGAAGGCCUUCGGUUGUAAACUGCUUUUGUACGAACGAAAAGGCUACGUUUACUAAUAAAGGGCCCAGUGAACGUACCGUAAGAAUAAAGCACCGGACUAACGACGUGACCACGCAGCCGC
rnacentral:rRNA from 1 species